AGCGGCGAGUGAAGCGGCAAAAGCUCAAAUUUGAAAUCUGGCACUUUCAGUGUCCGAGUUGUAAUUUGAAGAAGGUAUCUUUGGGUCUGGCUCUUGUCUAUGUUUCUUGGAACAGAACGUCACAGAGGGUGAGAAUCCCGUGCGAUGAGAUGUCCCAGACCUAUGUAAAGUUCCUUCGAAGAGUCGAGUUGUUUGGGAAUGCAGCUCUAAGUGGGUGGUAAAUUCCAUCUAAAGCUAAAUAUUGGCGAGAGACCGAUAGCGAACAAGUACAGUGAUGGAAAGAUGAAAAGAACUUUGAAAAGAGAGUGAAAAAGUACGUGAAAUUGUUGAAAGGGAAGGGCUUGAGAUCAGACUUGGUAUUUUGUAUGUUACUCUCUCGGGGGUGGCCUCUACAGUUUACCGGGCCAGCAUCAGUUUGAGCGGUAGGAUAAGUGCAAAGAAAUGUGGCACUGCUUCGGUAGUGUGUUAUAGUCUUUGUCGAUACUGCCAGCUUAGACUGAGGACUGCGGCUUCGGCCUAGGAUGUUGGCAUAAUGAUCUUAAGUCGCCCGUCUUGAA
rnacentral:rRNA from 1 species